rnacentral:rRNA from 1 species
GAAAUGCGAUAAGUAAUGUGAAUUGCAGAAUUCAGUGAAUCAUCGAAUCUUUGAACGCACCUUGCGCUCCUUGGUAUUCCGAGGAGCAUGCCUGUUUGAGUGUCGUGAAAUUCUCAACUUUUCGAAGCUUUUUGUCAAAGCUUCGUUAGGCUUGGAUUCUGGGAGUUUGCUGGCUUAUUUCAGUCAGCUCUUCUUAAAUUUAUUAGCAAGAUUUAAUCGCUCGAAUCAUCUUUGAUAUGAUAAUUAUCUAUAUUAUUGAUGAAUCAGUGUUUUCCUUCGAGGAAAAAGUCUGGCUUCUAACUGUCUCUUCAGACAACUUUUGAAUCAUUUGACCUCAAAUCAGGUAGGAUUACCCGCUGAACUUAA